CCUGCGGAAGGAUCAUUACCGAGUUGAUUCGAGCUCCGGCUCGACUCUCCCACCCUAUGUGUACCUUACCUCCGUUGCUUUGGCGGGCCGCGGUCCUCCGCACCGGCUCCCCUCGAGGGGGCUGGCCAGCGCCCGCCAGAGGACCACAAAACUCCAGUCAGUAAACGUUGCAGCCUGAAAAACAAGUUAAUAAACUAAAACUUUCAACAACGGAUCUCUUGGUUCUGGCAUCGAUGAAGAACGCAGCGAAAUGCGAUAAGUAAUGUGAAUUGCAGAAUUCAGUGAAUCAUCGAAUCUUUGAACGCACAUUGCGCCCCUUGGUAUUCCGAGGGGCAUGCCUGUUCGAGCGUCAUUUCAACCCUCAAGCUCUGCUUGGUAUUGGGCUCCGUCCUCCGCGGACGCGCCUCAAAGACCUCGGCGGUGGCGUCUUGCCUCAAGCGUAGUAGAAAACACCUCGCUUUGGAGCGCACGGCGCCGCCCGCCGGACGAACCUUUGAAUAUUUUUUCUCAAGGUUGACCUCGGAUCAGGUAGGGAUACCCGCUGAACUUAAGCAUAUCAAUAAGCGGAGG
rnacentral:rRNA from 1 species